AACGAACGCUGGCGGCAGGCUUAAUACAUGCAAGUCGAACGCCCCUUUCGGGGGGAGUGGCAGACGGGGGAGUAACGCGUGGGAACGUGCCCAAAGGUAGGGAACCACUACGGGCAACUGGAGCUAAUACCCUAUGUGCCCGAGAGGGGAAAGAUUUAUCGCCUUUGGAUCGGCCAGCGUUGGAUUAGGUAGUUGGUGGGGUAAAAGCCUACCAAGGCGACGAUCCAUAGCUGUUCUGCAGGGAAGAUCAGCCACACUGGGACUGAGACACGGCCCAAACUCCUACGGGAGGCAGCAGUAGGGAAUCUUGGACAAUGGGCGCAAGCCUGAUCCAGCCAUGCCGCGUGAGUGAUGAAGGCCUUAGGGUUGUAAAACUCUUUCGCAGGUGACGAUAAUGACGGUAACCUGAGAAGAAGCCCCGGCUAACUUCGUGCCAGCCGCCGCCGUAA
rnacentral:rRNA from 1 species